rnacentral:rRNA from 1 species
CCUACGGGAGGCAGCAGUGGGGAAUAUUGCACAAUGGGGGAAACCCUGAUGCAGCGACGCCGCGUGAGUGAAGAUGUAUUUCGGUACGUAAAGCUCUAUCAGUAGGGAAGAAAAAAAGUCCUUUGGACUUUGGACGGUACCUGACCAAGAAGCCCCGGCUAAUUACGGGCCAGCAGCCGCCGUAAUACGUAGGGGGCAAGCGUUAUUCGGAUUUACUGGGUGUAAAGGGAGCGUAGACGGCAGCGCAAGUCUGGAGUGAAAUGCCGGGGCCCAACCCCGGAACUGCUUUGGAAACUGUGCAGCUGGAGUGCAGGAGAGGUAGGCGGAAUUCGUAGUGUAGCGGUGAAAUGCGUAGAUAUUAGGAGGAACGCCAGUGGCGAAGGCAGCCUGCUGGACGACAACUGACGGUGAGGCGCGAAAGCGUGGGGAGCAAACAGGAUUAGAUACCCCGGUAGUC